AAUGUAUCGGUAUUCUAGUUUGGUCAAUUCAACUAAUCGUAUAGUCACCAAAAAAAAAAAAAUUCAACUAAUCGUAUCUCCGUUGACCAGAAAAUAGCUUGAUCGGAACCGCCUCUGGCGGUGGUCGACCCUCUCUUUUCCCUCAUUGCUUCCUCAAGGUUUAGCUUUUACUUGCAAACUCUACUUUUAUCACCCUUGAUAGUGUGAACUAUGAAGCUGAGAGAUUAAACCCACACUUGUAGCAGUAAGCAAAGCUUCAAGCUUUUGAAACUUAGAUAGUUAGAGAGUAAAUGCUGAACUUAGCUCCCUGCUUCAGCACCACCGAAAGAAGCUGUUCACUUGGUUUUCAAUGUUGAUUCGAUUGCAUCUCAUUUUGUCUGUCUCAUUGGCAUCAUAGGUAGAGGAGGCAGGUCAAGAUGGAAGCUCUAGCCAAGAGUUUUAGUACUCUUGCAUUUUAAUUAUUCCAUGUCAAUGAUUACUCAAGGACAAGUUCGAUAUUUAUGUAAAUGCGUAAAACCUAUUAUACAGCCAAUAUCAAGCAGCAGUUACAUCGAUUUGAUGUGCAAGCAGCACCAUUAUGAAGAAGCACUCCAUGCAUUCGAUUUCUAUAUAAAGAACUCAAGUAUCCAGCUAGAACCAAGCACAUAUACGAAUUUAAUACUGGCUUGUACCAACUCUAAAUCUCUUGAAUAUGGUAGGAAAGUUCAUGAUCACAUUCUAAAUUCCAACCAUCGACCAGACAUUGUUCUGCAUAAUCAUAUUCUUAAUAUGUAUAGAAAAUGUGGUUCUUUGAAGGAUGCUAGAAAAGUUUUUGAAGCAAUGCAGCUGAGAAAUGUGGUCUCAUGGACAUUAAUGAUCUCUGGAUACUCUCAAAACGGUCAAGAGAAUGAUGCCAUCAUCAUGUAUCUGCAAAUGCUGCGAUCAGGACAUUUACCAGACCAGUUAACCUUUGGAAGCAUACUCAAGGCUUGCUCUAUUGCAGGUGAUAUAACUUUAGGUUGGCAACUGCAUGGCCAUGUAAUCAAAUUAGGAUUUGGUUAUCAUCUGAUUGCACAAAAUGCUCUUAUUGCAAUGUAUACAAAAUUUGGACAAAUUGAUCACGCCUCAGAUGUGUUUACUACAAUCUCUACAAAGGAUUUGAUUUCUUGGGGUUCCAUGAUUACAGGGUUUACCCAAUUCGGUAAUGAGAUAGAUGCUUUAUAUCUUUUCAGAGACAUGCUCAGGCAGGGUUCCUAUCAGCCAAAUGAAUUUAUAUUUGGCAGUGUUUUCAGUGCUUGCAGCAGCCUGCUAGAGCCAGAAUUCGGAAAGCAAAUACAUGGAGUAUGUACUAAAUUUGGUUUAGGGAGGAAUACCUUUGCUGGAUGUUCGCUCUCAGAUAUGUAUGCAAAAUUUGGAUUCUUACCUUCAGCAAAACUUGCAUUUUAUCAUAUUGAAAGCCCUGAUUUAGUGUCAUGGAAUGCAAUUAUUGCAGCAUUUGCUGACAGUGGUGAUGCUAAUGAAUCCAUAUAUUUUUUCUGUCAGAUGAUGGAUUCGGGAUUGGUCCCAGAUAGCAUUACAUUCCUCUCCUUACUUUCUGCUUGUGGGAGCUCGAUGGCACCCAACCAAGGCAAGCAAAUUCAUUCCUACAUUAUCAAACUAGGAUUCGAUAAGCAUGCACCUGUUUGCAACUCUUUGCUAACCAUGUACACGAAGUGUUCAAAUCUACAAGAUGCAUUUAAUGUUUUUGAAGAUAUAAGCGAGAAUGCCAAUUUAGUCUCGUGGAAUGCAAUUCUUUCAGCUUGCUUGCAGCAUAAACAAGCAGGAGAGUCUUUCAGAUUGUUUAAACUAAUGAUUUCUUCUGCAAAUAGACCUGACAAUAUCACCAUAAUGAACUUAUUAGGAACUUGCGCAGAAUUAGCUUCAUUGGAAGCCGGGAAUCAAGUCCAUUGCCUUAGUGUUAAAAGUGGACUUGUGCUAGAUGUUUCUGUCUGCAAUGGAUUGAUUGACAUGUAUGCAAAGUGUGGAUCACUUAAAUCUGCUCAAAAUGUUUUUGAUUCAACUCUCAACCAAAAUGUUAUCUCGUGGAGUAGUUUGAUUGUUGGUUAUGCACAAUUUGGGCUUGCACAUGAAGCACUUAAUCUCUUCAGAAGAAUGAGAAAGUUUGGUAUUCACCCUAAUGAGGUCACAUAUCUCGGGGUUCUCAGCGCAUGCAGUCACAUUGGAUUGGUGGAGGAAGGAUGGCACCUAUAUAAAACCAUGCAAGUCGAACUAGGUAUUCCACCAAGAAGAGAGCACUUCUCAUGCAUGGUUGAUUUGCUUGCUCGAGCUGGAUGCUUGAAUGAAGCAGAGACUUUUAUCAUGAAAACAGGAUUUGACCCCGAUAUUACUACGUGGAAAACUCUCCUAUCUGCUUGCAAAACUCAUGGUAAUGUUGACAUUGCGAAGCGAGCUGCAGAAAAUAUACUAAAGCUUGAUCCUUCCAGCUCUGCUGCAAUGGUGUUACUUUGCAAUAUUCAUGCUUCUGCCGGAAACUGGGAAGAUGUUGCCAAACUAAGGAGCUUGAUGAAACAAACAGGUGUACCAAAGGUUCCUGGUCAGAGUUGGAUAGAAGUCAAGGAUAAGAUCCAUGUGUUCUUCUCAGAUGAUACAUCACAUCCUCAAAGGGAAAAAAUAUACGCAAUGCUUGAAGAGUUAUGGUUGCAGAUGUUGGAUGAUGGUUAUGAUAGUUGCAAAUGGUUAGACAUUGACAUUUAGUGAGGAAGUUAGUUGGAAGGUUUCAUCGAAGCUAUGCUUUUUUUGGUUCCCGAUUGAACAACCUGCAUCCAAGUCCUUAUACUAAGAACCCAACUAACCUAUCCCAAACCGGGACUACAGAUUAAGGGACCAAGGGACUUACAAUAUUGAUCAAUCCCAUAUUGGUUUGUUGAAACUAUGCUGCUGAUAUGUGACAGAUGGGGUGAGUUAAGCUCCACUUAAACAAGUUCCUCUAUAGGCACCAAAGGGCAAUGGCAACUUCUACUUCACAAUUCUGGUGUGGUCAGCAUGCACAUGGCAUUGACCAAUCGGAACACGGUUAUAAUGUUUGACCAAACCGGAGCCGGCCAAUCAGGUUACAA